rnacentral:rRNA from 1 species
UACGAAGGGGGCGAGCGUUGUUCGGAGUUACUGGGCGUAAAGGGCGCGUAGGCGGCUAUCCAAGUUAGGCGUGAAAGCCCCGGGCUCAACCUGGGAAUAGCGCUUAAGACUGGGUUGCUUGAGUACGGUAGAGGGGGAUGGAAUUCCGCGUGUAGCAGUGAAAUGCGUAGAUAUGCGGAGGAACACCGAUGGCGAAGGCAAUCCCCUGGACCUGUACUGACGCUCAUGCACGAAAGCGUGGGGAGCAAACAGG